UUUCAUACUGUUACUGCAUUGCAGGUAUUAAGGUUGAUUUUUUGCAGUGAUUGCAGGCCCAUGUGGAAUAUUCUGGCCGCAACUGACUUGAAUGUAUGUUUGAUGGUGUAUGGCCUCAUUGCAUUGAUAAUGGUCACAUAAAUUCCUUCAUUAUUGUAGUGCAAAUGAAUGUAGUCGGUGCAAUAAUUUAAGAUUAGGUGAUGCACUAUUCUUGACUUUGGUGUGUGUUCAUGUUGCAGGAUCUUUCGCCCUAACAUGUUAC
rnacentral:lncRNA from 1 species